rnacentral:lncRNA from 1 species
CUGUCUAAAGUAGUUGUAGCUAUUCAUUUAUAUAACACAGUAAUAAAUGCUUGCAGAUCUUGCAAAUAACAGAAUCAAGAAAUAACACAGUUUUAGCUUAUGAACAUAAAAAAAACAGUGUUCAUUUAAAUUCUGGCUUCAGGAUCUGUGUCAACAUGUUUGAAGUAAUAAUAACCACUUAAUGAUUUGAAAUGGUUUCUAUGUAGAAAAACAACAUACAGAUAUUUAUUUCUCUGGCAGUUUCUGAAUGUAAAAGCUUUGUUUCCUGAUUUUUUUGUGUGUGUGUUUGGUUGUGUCCUUUGAACAUGCUAAGAAAUAUCCUAAGAGAUGACAGUCAAAACAUUAUGUAUUAUGAAAAGCUGCAGUAAAGCUUGAAAAUCUUCCAGAAUCCAGUCUAUUCUAGCAAUUUAAAAAUGGCUAUUAUAGAUCAGCAAAAUUACAAAUCUAUCUUCUACUGUAAAGAGUAAAAGAAUUCACACUGAAUUUAAAGAGCUAUUUAUAGUACACAAGUUCUUUAAAGUAAUUUCCACAUUGCAGUUUUCAAUACAGACAUUCCUAAUUUGGCAAUGAUCAAGCUCAUAGUCACUGAUAUCUUAUAGAGUAAAAUUGCCCUUGUACUCCUUUGUACUUUUUUCUACUAUAAUCAGAAAACUGUGUUACUGAAGAUCCUCUUCAUUCUCAUUAUUAGUUAUAGCACAUGUGCAUCAUAACUGGAUUCAGCAGGGAAUCCUUCAAUGAUGAGCAGGUAAGGAUUUCUUUUACAAUUGUGUUCCAUGUGUUUAAUGUUCAGCUUGAUCUAGUAGCAGUUAGUACUAAAACUGUUUAAAUUCUUAUUGGGCUCCUACUAGCAAAGAAAAAAAAAAUACAGCAAUCUUGAGCAGCCUCCCUUUCAGACAGGUAACUAUGACAGAAGGCCCAGAAGCUCAUCAUGCUAUAAAACAUAAAUUAUCUUAAUUCUUGAUGAUACAGGGCCAAAAAUUGUAAAUUGAUAUCUUUACUGAAUCUUUCAAACUGGGGGAAGGACUUUUUAGUUGCCAGGGAAUUUUCAGUACUCUUUAGAUAUGUUGAUCAUUUUUUUGAGUUUUUUUGUAUAAUUUACAAAUUUUUGCCUUUGCUCAUUCUUGGUGUAGUAAUUUCAAAUAACCAGAUAUUAAAAAACAUUCAAUAAAUAAAAUAAAUAAAUGAAUUUUAAAAAAGCAUCGCUGGUUUCAACUAAUCCUGUGCUGUAAUACUGAAAAAAUUCAAACUAGUUAUAUUUUAGAAGUCACCAUGAUUAUUAGAAUAGUUUUAGGAGCUAAAGCAUGUGGACCGAUUGUAAGUUUGCAUACAACCAUGUGUUUUCUUGUGUAGAACUGAAUUUAACAAGUAUUAUAUCAGAACAGCUCUUUUACCAGACAUAUCAAAGUGUUCAAUUGUAAUUAAGAAUAUAAAGAUAGUAAUAAGAAUUUUUGCAAUAGUUGAUACUUUUUUAUUAAAUAUAAAGUCAAUUUUCCUAACCUGUGUCUUCAGAUAAUUUCAGUAUACACUGAAAUGAUGAUUUAGAAUAAUUCUGCUAAAGGUAAUGAUAAUAAAAAGCCUCCUUCAAAUGUAAGACUGUAAAAAUAAUAUUAAACAUGACAGAGAGGUCACCUCCUGACAUAUUUUUGUGACACAUGUAGCCAAAACCAGUGAGCAUGUUUUGGGUCUCAAGUAAUAUAGACUUGCUCAGACUUGAAAAAAAAAAAAAAAAA